UGCAUAGCAGUAAUGUGGGUGGCAAUAGGGACCCAACAUCUGUCAUGGAGUAAGGAAAGAGGAGGCGAACGGCUUUAUUUACCGGUCGAAGAAAAUCGAGUGGCGUUAGCGCGAAACGGGAGUCGGUGAAAAGAAGGAAAAACCGCUUGUCCAGAACGGAAACUGCUUUUGUGGGGAGAGCGGUUUUGACUGGAAAGUAGACAGAGAGAACCCCACCAGUAUGAAAAUACCGAAGCUUCUGUUUACUUAAAAACUCCCCUGUUUCCUUGCCCCCCUUCUUUAUUGCAACCUUCGAUAUCAGUACUACGACUUUGAAACUUUGAGGUUUUGGGGUCCCUUCCCUUCCCUUCCUUUAAGCUUUUACUCUGCCAUUUUAAUCUUUCAUCUUUCCUCGAGCUUCAAUACAUACCUCUUCUCGGUUUGCCGUUGCCGGAAAAAGCUGGGCGGCGGCCAAGGAGGGUUUUUUUUUCCUGGUUACGCUUUCUUGUCCCUUUGGUUAACUUUGCCGUUUGAUGGCGCCGGAAAAGGGGGUUUCUCCGGCGAUUGAAGGGUUUUCCGGGAACAGUUUUGCGCAGUUGUUGGAUUCUGGUAGCUUAGGUUUAGAAAUGAGGGAAGAGGUGUGUCGAGCUCAGCAAGGUUUGGUGUCGCCGAAGCCUCAUUUCUCGGGGUUUAAGCAAGGGCCUGAUAUGCUCGGUUUCCAUGGCCAUGCUAGUGACCGGAAGGAUGGUUCUGCGCCGUCGAUUCCUGGAAUCAGUGGCAGCGAUUCUUCCUCGUCUGGUUCGAGCAAUAGCAGUCGGCCCAAGAGCUCUGUAAUUAGAAGCGAUGUUGGGGAAGCUUCAAUAGAGCACAAGAAGCAUAGUGGGUCGGUUGAACAUGGUAAUGGCGAGGCUGGAGUUCAAUUCAAGAAACCGAAGGUGGAUUCAUCAGCCUCUGUUCCAUUGAAGGUUAGGAAAGAGAAGCUCGGAGAGCGAAUCACUGCUCUGCAACAGCUUGUUUCUCCUUAUGGCAAGACCGACACGGCCUCUGUUCUUCACGAGGCUAUGGGUUACAUCCGCUUCCUCCACGACCAAGUUCAGGUGCUUAGCACUCCCUACUUGCAACGAAUUCCGCCUUCUAGCCUGCGGGAAGCUGGAGAAGAAGAGUCGAAGUAUGAUUUGAGGAGCCGAGGUCUGUGCUUAGUCCCUGUUUCCUGCACCCUUCAUGUGGCAAGCAGCAAUGGUGCUGAUUUUUGGGCACCAGCCAUGGCAAGCAAUUCCUCCAAAUACUGAAACAAAAAAUUCAAGAAAAACAAGGAGAUGAAAGAUUCAACAUGUGUAUUCUGUAGAGAGAGAAAGCAAAAAGCUCUGCUGACCCGGACUACGGCCAUGGCCUUGAAUUUUUUUGGGCUCGAUCAAAGAUUCGGGCCUGGUCUUGGACCUCUUUUCAGCUCAUCUAUUGAGACAAAUAUGGUAGAAAUCAAUAAUAUCGGAAUACUGGACUUGGGCUUGGGCUUGGACUUGGGCUUGGGCUGGGAUUGGACUUGGACGUCUUCUCACCUUGAUCAAUAAUUCGGGCCUGGGCUUGGACCUCUUUUAAGCUCAUAGAUGCAGGAAGACAAGUAUGAUGUUUUAAAAUAGUGUGUGGCUGGUUGGCGAUAAAAGAGACUUUGUUAAGAGGUCGCAGUCGCACCCAAUCCCAUCCCACCGAAAUCAGGGCCGCAUUUUGUGGGAUUAAUAAUGUGGGGUCGGUGUCGCACCAAACCAUUGAAGAAAACGAUAGAGUCUACCGAAAGCAACGUAUGAUAGAUGAGGAUUUGGGACCUAAGCUUUGAGGGAGAGUGCCCCCUUUCAAACUUUUGUGUCAUGAGAACUGUGGUCCGCGUGAUACGAAUGUGUUUCGGUGGUUGUCGCUUCUUGUAAAAUAAUUUUAUAAGUGGGUAAACAACAAAUUUAUGUCAUAAGUUAGUAAACAACAAAUUGAUGUCUCCCGCCAAUUUUGAAGGGAAAGUCUUACUAAGAUCAUGAAAUAUUAUCAUCAUCCAACCUAUGAUGUUACAAAUUUUGUAUUGAAAAAUAUUGUUAUAUUUCAAAACAAAAUUGAAAAAUCUUUUGUUACCAUAUUGUUUAAUUAAUGAAAAUUUUAUAUGGAGUUUCAACGGGAAGCGUACGAGAGGCACCUUGAAAAUCGACAGGAAAAGGUUGUCUUGAUGAUGAAAAUCCCACUUAUUGAUUAUUUCGACUAUGAGAUGCAUGGGUAUGAGGAAAAAAACAGAGAGGAAUUGAAGUAUUGAACGCAGCACCUUACAAUAUAAUAUUUGGAGGAUUUAUUUUUAAGAUUUUCUAAUAGUUGUAGAUUGUUCGAUCUGUAUAGCUUCAAAUUUUAUAAUUAGGGAUGGA